CAGAGUUCUCGCCCGCCCGGGUAGAUCUCCCACCCACUGUGAUUGCUACCGUGUUUCUUUGGCGGGCCGCCGGGCCCUGCCCGGCCGCCAGGCGACCCCGCCGGCGCGCGCCCGCCAGAGGCUCCCCAAACCCUGAAUGUCAGUGUCGUCCGAGUAACACACAAUAGUUA
rnacentral:misc_RNA from 1 species